GAUGAACGUUGGCGGCGUGCUUAACACAUGCAAGUCGAACGAACCUUCGGGUUAGUGGCGGACGGGUGAGUAACGCGUGAGAAUCUGCCCUCAGGAGGGGGAUAACGGUUGGAAACGACCGCUAAUACCCCAUAUGCCGAUAGGUGAAAUGAAUUUCGCCUGAGGAUGAGCUCGCGUCUGAUUAGCUUGUUGGUGAGGUAAUGGCUCACCAAGGCUUCGAUCAGUAGCUGGUCUGAGAGGAUGAUCAGCCACACUGGGACUGAGACACGGCCCAGACUCCUACGGGAGGCAGCAGUGGGGAAUUUUCCGCAAUGGGCGAAAGCCUGACGGAGCAACGCCGCGUGAGGGACGAAGGCCUCUGGGCUGUAAACCUCUUUUCUCAAGGAAGAAGAUAUGACGGUACUUGAGGAAUAAGCCACGGCUAAUUCCGUGCCAGCAGCCGCGGUAAUACGGGAGUGGCAAGCGUUAUCCGGAAUUAUUGGGCGUAAAGCGUCCGCAGGCGGCCUUUCAAGUCUGCUGUUAAAGCGUGGAGCUUAACUCCAUUAUGGCAGUGGAAACUGAUCGGCUUGAGUAUGGUAGGGGCAGAGGGAAUUCCCGGUGUAGCGGUGAAAUGCGUAGAUAUCGGGAAGAACACCAGUGGCGAAGGCGCCCUGCUGGGCCAUUACUGACGCUCAUGGACGAAAGCCAGGGGAGCGAAAGGGAUUAGAUACCCCUGUAGUCCUGGCCGUAAACGAUGAACACUAGGUGUCGGGGGAAUCGACCCCUUCGGUGUCGUAGCUAACGCGUUAAGUGUUCCGCCUGGGGAGUACGCACGCAAGUGUGAAACUCAAAGGAAUUGACGGGGGCCCGCACAAGCGGUGGAGUAUGUGGUUUAAUUCGAUGCAACGCGAAGAACCUUACCAGGGUUUGACAUCCUGAGAACCUCUUAGAAAUUUGAGGGUGCCUUCGGGAAUUCAGUGACAGGUGGUGCAUGGCUGUCGUCAGCUCGUGUCGUGAGAUGUUGGGUUAAGUCCCGCAACGAGCGCAACCCACGUUUUUAGUUGCCAGCAUUUAGUUGGGCACUCUAGAAAGACCGCCGGUGAUAAACCGGAGGAAGGUGUGGAUGACGUCAAGUCAUCAUGCCCCUUACACCCUGGGCUACACACGUACUACAAUGCUACGGACAAAGGGCAGCAAACUCGCGAGAGCUAGCAAAUCCCAUAAACCGUGGCUCAGUUCAGAUCGUAGGCUGCAACUCGCCUACGUGAAGUAGGAAUCGCUAGUAAUCGCAGGUCAGCAUACUGCGGUGAAUACGUUCCCGGGCCUUGUACACACCGCCCGUCACACCAUGGAAGUUGGCCAUGCCCGAAGUCGUUACUCCAACCCUUGUGGAGGAGGACGCCGAAGGUGGGGCUAAUGACUGGGGUGAAGUCGUAACAAGGUAGCCGUACCGGAAGGUGCGGCUGGAUCACCUCCUAACAGGGAGACAACAAAAUGUAAAUAUUAAUUUUGUCACCUUAGGUCGAUCGGUAUCUCAGAUUCUUAUUUUUUAAGAAUUUCAGUUUCUAAGUUUUUUCUAGGUCACACCCAUCACUUUUUCCUGGGCCAUUAGCUCAGGUGGUUAGAGCGCACCCCUGAUAAGGGUGAGGUCCCUGGUUCAAGUCCAGGAUGGCCCAUAUCUCUAUGUUGGGGGUAUAGCUCAGUUGGUAGAGCGCCUGCUUUGCAAGCAGGAUGUCAGCGGUUCGAGUCCGCUUACCUCCACUGAAUACCACCUCUUACAGAUUUUUAAAGAGGGAAAUUGUUUUGAGUUGUGUCCUAAUUUGCUCUGAGCGAAUCUAGCUUCCUAUUUUAUUCAAUAAAUAAGAUGCUGGACUCAUUGAAUUCUUAUUCAUUGUUUUCAGAGAACCUUGACAACUGCAUAGAUUAUUUUUGAAGACAAUAAGCAUCUUUAAUGAUGCAGAUUUAUUAUUUGUGCGAAUGCAUUAAAUAACAAUUCUAUUAAGCUGAUGCUUCAAUUAUUGAAGUUAUUGGUCAAGCUACAAAGGGCUCACGGAGGAUACCUAGGCACACAGAGGCGAUGAAGGACGUGGUUACCUGCGAUAAGUCUCGGGGAGUUGGAAGCACACUUUGAUCCGGGAAUUU
rnacentral:rRNA from 1 species